rnacentral:lncRNA from 1 species
ACUUAUCAAUCUCAGUAUGGGGGAAGGGAGGGUUCCCGGGAGUGGCAGUUUGGCCUCCAUCUUUGUGUUCCUACCCCUAGCGCUGCUGAAGAAAUGGCUGCCCCAACCCUGCUUGAAAACAGGUGAGAAACUACCUGGAAACUCAAGUGGAAAAUCUAAAAAUGGAGAGAGACACCCUUAAUGGUCUGUGAUAGAAUCGUUGUGUAUGUUUAAACAGAGCAAUUACCGGAGGCACCUGCAAUGAAAUGACUGCUUUUUUUUUUUCUCUGUCGCCCAGGCUGGAGUGCACUCACAAGAUCUCGGCUCACUGCAUCUUCCCCUGCCAGGUUCAGGUGAUAGGCAGAGCGGCCAGAGCUCCGCCGGGAUGUCCUGCCGGGUGGUCGUGGCCAUGACAGGGGCUCCGGAUCGGCUCACCUUCCGCGCCCCUCCCGCCGGAAAUGAGGGUAAGAUGUCCGUGUCAGGGUUCAAGGCCAAGCUGAAGUUGCUAGCCUCUAUUUUCCACAAGAACCAGGAGCCGCGGCAGCUCACGCUCCACUGCAACGUCAUGAUGAGGCGCCCAGCCGCGGCCUCGCGGAAUGGGACAACAGAAGAAGUGACUUCAAAAGAAGAGGAAGAAGAAGAGGUGGCUGAAGUAGGAAUUUUAUGUAAGAAUAACAUUUUGGCCAGGUGGGGUGGCUCAUGCCCAUAA